ACUUGGUGACUUUUUAUGAUUGCUUUCUGCUCGUAUGAAUAAAGGGUGAGCCCAGGGCCUGCUGCCCACUGUCUGCUCUGAUGACCCUCUCUCCCCUGCAGAUCCGAGUGAUGGUGGACCUGUGCAACAGCACCAAGGGCAUCUGCCUCACAGGACCUCCGGGAGCUGGCGGGUUGCCAGGACACAAUGGAUCGGAUGGACAGCCUGGUCCUCAGGGCCCAAAAGGAGAAAAAGGAGCAAAUGGAAAAAGAGGAAAAAUGGGUAUUUUUGGCAACUCUUCUAAUUAAUUUCCCUGUUAUUUAUCUCUAUGAUUGCAUUUGGGUUGACUAAAGCUGUGUGCAGCAGGGGUAAGGUGUUUCAUCUCUGCACAGUUUAAGGCCAGUUUAACUCUUACCUAGAAGCCAUUGUGUUCUGGGAUACCAAGGGUAUUCUUCUUGGUCCCACCUUGACAGAUGUUUAUUUCAAACUGGAGAAGCCGUCUCCUGGGAACUGAUUCCCACCCUUCUGCUGCAGACGGGAGGUGGGAGGAGCAGGAGCCCACAGCCCUGGGAGGGGCACUCUGUGGGCCGUGUGACAGCUGGUGCUGGCGCA
rnacentral:sRNA from 1 species